AGAGACGCUGCGACGGGAGCUGGGGAGCGACACAGGCUGCAGAAUAACAUUCCCGGGUCCCUCCAGAUUCUCCCAGCCUGCCCAGGGAAGGGAAAUGGAUGCAGCAGACCUGGUUCAGGGGCCGGUGACCUUCAAGGAGGUGGCUGUGUAUUUCACC